rnacentral:rRNA from 1 species
GCAAGUCGAACGAUCUCUUCGGAGAGAGUGGCGCACGGGUGAGUAACGCGUGGGAAUGUACCAUUUGGUAGGGAAUAGCUCCGGGAAACUGGAAUUAAUACCCUAUACGCCCUGAGGGGGAAAGAUUUAUCGCCAAAUGAUCAGCCCGCGUGACAUUAGCUAGUUGGUGGGGUAAUGGCCUACCAAGGCUACGAUGUCUAGCUGGUCUGAGAGGAUGAUC